rnacentral:rRNA from 3 species
GACGAACCGAGCGAACGUUGUUCGGAAUCACUGGGCUUAAAGGGCGCGUAGGCGGGCUGUCAAGUCUGGGGUGAAAUCCCGCGGCUCAACCGUGGAACUGCCUUAGAUACUGACGGCCUCGAGGGAGAUAGGGGCGAGCGGAACUGUGAGUGGAGCGGUGAAAUGCGUUGAUAUUCACAGGAACUCCGGUGGCGAAGGCGGCUCGCUGGAUCUUUUCUGACGCUGAGGCGCGAAAGCUAGGGGAGCAAACGGG